GAUUGAACGCUGGCGGCAGGCCUAACACAUGCAAGUCGAACGGUAACAGGAAGAAGCUUGCUUCUUUGCUGACGAGUGGCGGACGGGCGAGUAAUGUCUGGGAAACUGCCUGAUGGAGGGGGAUAACUACUGGAAACGGUAGCUAAUACCGCAUAACGUCGCAAGACCAAAGAGGGGGACCUUCGGGCCUCUUGCCAUCGGAUGUGCCCAGAUGGGAUUAGCUAGUAGGUGGGGUAACGGCUCACCUAGGCGACGAUCCCUAGCUGGUCUGAGAGGAUGACCAGCCACACUGGAACUGAGACACGGUCCAGACUCCUACGGGAGGCAGCAGUGGGGAAUAUUGCACAAUGGGCGCAAGCCUGAUGCAGCCAUGCCGCGUGUAUGAAGAAGGCCUUCGGGUUGUAAAGUACUUUCAGCGGGGAGGAAGGGAGUAAAGUUAAUACCUUUGCUCAUUGACGUUACCCGCAGAAGAAGCACCGGCUA
rnacentral:rRNA from 1 species